CAAAGUGUGUCUGGAGAGUUGCAUUAAUACAGGCGCGCAUUUUCGUUUCUUUUCUCCAGUACAUCCUGGUUUCGUUUUCCCACUAUAUCACCGUGUUUCAUUUUUUUCAAAUCACACCCAUUCUAAAGAAGUUUUCACUUCAAAAAAAGAAAACCAAAACGUCAUUAUCAUAUGUCGAUAAUAUAGGAAUCAUCAUUAUCGUUUAGAUUCGUGUAACGAGAAUAAGAAAUUUUACUGAUUAACAACGACGACGACGACGACGAGACAGCAAGAGGCCUUCGUUCUUCUUUGCGUGUUCGCCACUAUUUUUGUAGUAGAGGUCGAGACACGAAAGGAAAACGAACGGGUUGUCGCGUGGUUGGUGAGAUUUUAACAUCCAGUACGGCUCGAGGGCUUCAGUCGGAUCGAGCUCAGGAGUUCUCCUCUUCUGACACGUAGUCUUUCUACUACUCAUCAUCAUCAUCAUCAUUUUCAUUAUCAUCAUCAUCAUUAUCAUCAACAUCAUAUCCAGUUAAAUUUAUAAUCGUAUACAAUAAAAACCAUUCGACGGGGGAAUAAAAUAAAUCUUCUAUUUUUAAAAACAAACAAAUAUAAGAAAUAAAGGAAACACAA